AACAAAACAUCCUCUAUCCAAAAUCUAGUUUCUCCCUUCAUUACUACAUCUUUAAUGACAGGAACAGUGAAACUUUUUCUUUUUGCUUCUGUUAUUUUUACAGUGCCUUUUUUUUACACUAAAACCUUUUGGAAUAUUUAACAAACAGGAUUUUUUUUUGCUCCUGUAUCUACUACAAAUUCCAAUUCUUCUUCUUGGGGAUCUACUUUUAGAGUUAUUACAGGCUCCAGAUGGUAUUUGUCCCCUACCUCUUUAUUGUGGGCUGGAGCUGCGGUUUCCAAGGGAACAGAGCUUUGAACAGGAAGUGUGGUUUUUGGACGACCUACCAUCUAGACUUGGUCCUCCAGAGGCGGAGCAUGGGCAGGGUUUGCUGCCGGAACUGCCGAAGGGGGAGGCAUUUCCAGGGUUGGCCAUACUGCCACGCGGUCACCCCCCGUGUUGCUCAUGGCAGCAGCACCAGCCACCUCCAACAGAGGCAAGGCCCCAGUGGCAGCCCUCAGCCCUUCAGAGGGUGAAGGAAAAACCCGCGGAUCCACUGCCGGGGGGGAGAAAGGAGCCGGGACCGCCGCCGCGAAUGGUGCGGGAAAACCCGCAGAUCCACCACUGGGGGCGGGGGGAGAAGGAGCCGGGAUCGCCUCGGGGAUGGCGGACCUGCUCUUACAAUGGAAACCAAACUACAAGCCAGGACCCGAGCAGGUUCAGCAGUCGUGUUACCCAUCACCUUUGAGGACUGAAAAGGGACAUUGCACAGCCUUAGUGGCUGUCACAUAGACUGCAAACAUGACCAUGCGGUUGGAAGGUAUGGAGACAACAGAAGUCCUCUGUCAGCAGCAUGGUUCUGUUUCCAUCAAUCUUCCUCGAGUCACUCCCUGCUUCAGACUUCAAGAAGACAUCCAGUGAUGCCAAGGAUCAACAUCUUGUCUCAAUGGACUUUUCCUUUUCAUGUGUUUUAAUUUUAUAGUAGAUGUUUCAUUUAAGUUUCCUACAUAGAUGUAGUUGUAUUUUAGGUAAUAUUUCGGUGUAUGUUUUGUAGUUAUUAAGGGCUGUUAUUUCACUUUGUGGUUUUUGCCUUUCUGGUCAUUGGGAUCAUGUAGAUUUUUUUUGGAGUCAGAUAUCUUUUUAUUGAUAUUUUUAUUAAUUUUAUUAUUCUUAUUCUUUCUUUCUAGGUGACAUCCUACAGGUAUCAUGGGCCAAUUGAGUGAACGAUGGUCCAAUCCUGCACAUCCUGCAAUGGGUCUUUGCCCUUUCAAACAUCGCAUGCAUUUUUGCAUUAAAAAAAAGAGUCAACCAAGAUGUCCAAAUAAUUGGAAAAAUAAACCAGUUUGCUCAUGCAGGUGUGAUGCAAGGACCACCGUCCUUUGCUAAAAGGCAGGAAAAGCCCUUGUUAUCUGAAAGGAUGAUUCCUAGAGUGAUGGAUCUUGACAAAUUAGACUGCCAUUUUUGAGCAGACUAAUGAUGUUUUGGUUUUUCUGUAUUAGAAUUAGUAAAUAGCUAAACUUGAUGCUGGUGCAUGGACAUGGUUAUGAAGGGUCAACACCAAAUGCCACAGAACUUCCCUGACCAUUUAAGUCGAUGCCCAACGGAAGUUCUAUUUAGGGAUUGGUUGAUUACUAAUGGGACUUCUGGUGUCAUGUUUGUCUCUUUCCUCUUGCAAAGGCCCUGCAGGAGAGGACACAGACACAGACGCAUCCCUCAGCAAAAACUAAAAUGGGGAGAUGUGGGCCUGACAUUGGUCUGAAUUUAGGCUUCAGGCUCUGCCAGUGUCUGUGAAAGGCAAGCGAGCAACUUUCUCAUGUUAACCUGAGAAAUCUAAAGGAGGAAUUCAAACAAACCUUGGGAAGUGAGAAACCAUCCACAGGUGGUGUUUUUCCAACAUGUUUACUGGAAAGAAAUGUUUACAAAAGGGUGUAGAUGCUGAAUAACCAAUCAUGUUCUUUGUACGGAACUACUCUAUAAAAGUAGAAUUUAGAAGAAUAAAGUUUGCUCUCAUUUUUACCAUCA